UCGAGAAUCUUCGGCAAUGGGCGCAAGCCUGACCGAGCGACGCCGCGUGUGGGAUGAAGGCCUUCGGGUUGUAAACCACUGUCAGAGGGGAUGAAAUGCAGGUGGGUUCUCCCAUCUGUUUGACAUAGCCUCAGAGGAAGGACGGGCUAAGUUCGUGCCAGCAGCCGCAGUAAGACGAACCGUCCAAACGUUAUUCGGAAUUACUGGGCUUAAAGGGUGCGUAGGCGGCGCGGAAAGUUGGGUGUGAAAUCCCUCGGCUCAACCGAGGAACUGCGCCCAAUACUACCGUGCUUGAGGGAGAUAGAGGUGAGCGGAACUUAGGGUGGAGCGGUGAAAUGCGUUGAUAUCCUAAGGAACACCGGUGGCGAAAGCGGCUCACUGGAUCUCUUCUGACGCUGAGGCACGAAAGCUAGGGUAGCGAACGGGAUUAGAUACCCCUGUAGUCCCUGAGCGGGCUGGCAAGGCGCAU
rnacentral:rRNA from 1 species